AACGAACGCUGGCGGCAGGCCUAACACAUGCAAGUCGAGCGCCCCGCCAGGGGAGCGGCGGACGGGUGAGUAACGCGUGGGAAUAUGCCCUUUGCUACGGAAUAGUCUCGGGAAACUGGGGGUAAUACCGUAUACGCCCUUUGGGGGAAAGAUUUAUCGGCGAAGGAUUAGCCCGCGUUGGAUUAGGUAGUUGGUGGGGUAAUGGCCUACCAAGCCGACGAUCCAUAGCUGGUUUGAGAGGAUGAUCAGCCACACUGGGACUGAGACGCGGCCCAGACUCCUACGGGAGGCAGCAGUGGGGAAUCUUAGACAAUGGGGGCAACCCUGAUCUAGCCAUGCCGCGUGAGUGAUGAAGGCCUUAGGGUUGUAAAGCUCUUUCAGCUGGGAAGAUAAUGACGGUACCAGCAGAAGAAGCCCCGGCUAACUCCGUG
rnacentral:rRNA from 1 species